rnacentral:lncRNA from 1 species
GAAAUUAGGAGCUAUACACUUCAAUUUAACUCCACUUUCUAGAGUUAUCAAAAUACCCAAUCACGAUACUUUCGCUUACAAGUCAAAUAGACCUCGUCUCUCAUGAGCCUAUUUCCUAUAGUCCAACCGGCCUAAGGUUUGCUAGGUUCACUAAGACUAAACCCUAGGCUCUGAUACCAAACUAAUCUGUCACGCCCCAGGACCCAGCGGAAGCCCGCCUAGCGCAUGUCCAGACCCGCCGUAUGUCUAAAACAUAUAAGGCAUCUAGAACAAAACGAUAAAUAAGAACAUCGAGAAGCAUCAGAGCGGAGUAUAUCUAGAAGCUACAAUAAGGGAAGAGAACAUAAAAGUAAGUCUACUAAGUAAAAACAUAAAGUGAAUACAAUAGGAAUCCCAAUACAAAAGCUAAACAAGUACAUAGGUGGUCUCUCUACACAUAUUACUCAAAACUCUCUCUCUCACAAAAACCAAAAAGAAGAGAGUGACCACCUAGGAGCAACAGCAAGCUUCACUAUCUAGCUAUGCGACUUCCUUGCCGCGAUCCCGUGCCUCCGCCGGUGCCGAAAGCUCUGAAAUAAAACCAUAAAACAGGGGGCGUGAGAACUAUUGAAUAAUAGUUCCCAGUGGGCAAUUACUAGCUUCAGUGAAAUGCACCACUAGGCCGAAACUAAAAAAGGUUCAGUAAGCAGAUAUAAACAAAGCGAUAUGUACGACGAGUAAAUAAGCAAGAAUAUUUGCUAUCACAUGAUAUCUCUACUUAGCAUGAUUUAGCAUAAGUAAGAAAAGCUAUUCUCAUAAGAAUGUACCCAAGCAUCGCUAGUAAGAUGUUCAUAAGUCAAAUAGUAAAGAUGUCAUUGCUUACUAUUCUAAUCAAUGUCACAUGGUAUGAUGAAUGCUCAAAAUCAAAUCUGAAGAGACCCGCCCGAAGGCUGUCUGGCCCUGAGACCCACCCGUAGGCUGUCUAGCCAGUGCCGAGCCUAAUGGCCCCGUGGUAGUCAACAUCCCUACUCUAGGAAUGAGCCUUUUCCACGGCAAUCCACUUCGGUGCCCAAUUCGGCCCGCACGGCGAAUAUGUAUCGCGAUGGCCAUCUCCGGAGUGCCGGCUUGUCGGGAGCGACCCUCACAAGCAUGUGCGAAUGAGCAUAAUGGCAAGUAACAAAAGAUCCAUCUGAAGUACUAAGUCCUCAUGUCUAGCAACAUGGAAUACGUCAUAACUCUCUCAUAGGCCUAUCUCUAUGUCAUCAUGUCUAAAACAUGGAAGGUAGUAGAUGUCCAUGGCCUAUCACUAAGUCAAUACAAUAGUCUCAUAAUGUGCUAGUCUAAGUGCCCCUUUAUGACACUUUCAUUUACUAAGUCCAAGCUUAACCCAAAUGUUCAUAAAUGCAUAAUUGAGCCACUUUAAACAUAUGAGGCAUGUUUCCAAACGGCUAGGGCAAACACUACUCAAAUGCAUGUAACAAUACCCAGAAUGCUCUACUAUAUAGAGUAAAAAUUAUCUUACACAUAACACAUGCAUUUUAAGUGCUCUAAAAUUCACAUAAAUUCCAUUUAGCAUAGAUUUGCAUUUAAAAUGACGUUACGACGAGUAUAGAAAGCAUGGGGGUCAUUUCGCCCCGUUUUCAUGAAGCCAAACCCACCACAACUCUUGUGCUCCUUCGUUUGCUCUAACGAAGGUGUCCACUAGUCUUCUAGCACCCUAAAGAUGUAGGAACAAAAGUUAAACGAACCUUACGAUCAACCCUAAGCUCAAUCAAUAAGCAACAUAGGCUAAGGUGGGGAAAACUCACCUCAAGUGAAGAAAUCCUCUCUCAAACUCCAAAUGGGAGUUAGAGUUCUUCAAAUCCAACCUAAAUAAAGGUUCUAAAUUCAUCAAUUAGGUCUCCAAGCCCUCCAAUCAAAAAUCCCCAAAAUAAACCCUAAAUCUCAUUUCUAGGGUUUUAUAUGGUAAAACCUACCAAAACAUAGAUCAAAGGCUAGAAUCAAGGUACUAACCUCUCUAGAUGCUCUAAAACAAGCUUCAAAUCUUCUAGGGUUGAAGAUUGAUCCUCUAUCAAGCUCCUUGCCUAAGCUCCAAGCCUCCAAUGGUGAGCAAAGGGAGAGGAAGAUGCUCCAAAGCCUCAAGAUCAUGCUCUCCUCCAACCCCUUCUUCUUAUCUCCUUCUUCUUCUCUCUCUAAAGUGAGUGUGAGGGAGAGAAAUGAGGGAGUGAGAGAGUGGAAGGACCAUAAAAGCCCUCUCAACUAACAAUAUCCUAAUAAGCCCUCCAACAAUCCAACCAAAGCAUCAGCCCGGACUGGGCAAAAUUCGCCCAGAGGGACCGGUCUCUCCUUGCCUGGGACCAGUCUCUCGGUUCGUCCCGCAAAACUAGCGUACGGGAACCGGUCUCCCCAGCCGGGGACCGGUCGCAUUGCCAUAGGGGACCGGUCUCCCCGAUCAGGGACCGGUCUCCGAGAGUGAAAACUCUCAGGACUGCCCAGAACUCAGAUUUUUCGAGCUCUUUAAGUCGAAACACCUUCCACGACCUUCCACCAAGUGUGGAAAAGCUCGGAACCCAAGUCAAACACUCGAACCUCGCAAUUUGUAAAGGUCCAGUGUGCUACAAGCUCUCCUUCCCCUCCUCCUUCUUCUCCUUCUUCUUCUCUUUCUAAAGGGUGAGAGAGAGAGUGUGAGAAAGGAAUGAAGGAAAGAGAGAAGGGAAAGACCAUAUAACUCCUUCUCAAGCAACAAAAUCCAAAAAGCCCCCUCAACUCAUCAACCAAUGCACUGCCUGGUUUGGGCAGUUUUCGAGCAAAGGGACCGGUCUCUUCCUCCCAGGGACUGGUCCCUCAGGACCCUCUCGCAGUCACGCAUACGGGAACCAGUCUCCCUAGCCAGGGGACCGGUUGCAUCGGUUGUGUCACGCCCUCGCCCUGAGACCCCUACCAAUUUGGCAUGGUUCGGGCGCACCGGGCGGACCGCCGAACGGACAGCACCUCCUCUGCCCGCCCAAGGCUCAACAACAGAUUGAAUACAAGAAUUUACCCAGGAAUUUAAAUUCUACAAGUACACAAUCAACAUGGCACAAACAGUGCCAACAACAACAAGAGCAAGUGAUCCACUAGAUAUACAAGUGAAAUAAAGAGAGUACUUUACUAACUAUUACAAUAGUUUACUUUCAUUUACAUUUACAUAUUUUCUCAAAAUGAAUACAUUUGUUCAUCCAAAAUACAUAGCUCUCCAAACCUCACCUACAUGAAUCUCUCUCAAUACAUAGGUGCUAAUACAAAAGGAAAGCUACUAUACUACCACGGUCUCACUGAUCGGGCGCGAUGCCCUUGUCGCGGUCCUCUCUCGGCAACCCUGUACCUACCACUGGAAAUAGAGUGGGGUGAGAACUAUCUUCCAUAGUUCCCAGUGGGCUCGACCACCGACUCCACCGGUCUCCCCACUAGGUCCAAGUGGGUACAAGUAACAACAAGAUAGAUAUAUAGAUAGAUAUCUCAAAGCUGUAAAUGACAUAAUAGGAAAUCUAUGCUACUAUGCCCAUAAUCAUGUGUAAUGAAUGCAUGCAUCGUAUAGUAAGGGUUUACUACCAUGCUAACAAGUUCGAUCCAUGUUCGAAUAAUAAUGUUCAAUGACAAUACUUGUUUUCCAUUUACCCAAUCUAUGGCGAGACCCUUGGGUUCGCCCUCAACUCACCUUUCCAUCCCAAUUGGGUAGGGGAGCUCCAUGUGCCCCCAAACCCGGGAUUAUCUGCGGACCUCCAUGUGGUCCCUAUCGCCCGACACUUCGGAGUACUCGACAACCAAUCCUCUCCAUGUGAGGAUAUGGAUGGCUAUACCACCCCAAAUAACAGACCAUGAGCUUGAUCUAUUCUCUCCACGUGAGGAUACCCUACCAUCUAGGGCCAACAGCACAAUCAAAACUCGUCUAUGUCCUCUCCAUGUGAGGAUACUCUAUAAACUAGGGCCAACAACACUCGGAAGUCAUUUAUUCCGACCAACAUGCAAUUGCACUUAGCUGUACUAAGUUCUUUGUCUACAAGGCAUUUUCUAAGGGAUCCACCUAUCCUUAGGUUCUCAAACCUCUAGUGUCAAGUACACUACUUUAAUACCACUCAAUAUGUUCUUUAAACACUUAGAUGCCAUUUUCUAUGUUACCAAACACCCAUCGUGUCCAUCUCUUUUCUUUAGCACUAUAGGAUCCACGUUUCGACCCAAUCCUUACCUAUUCAUUUUCACGAAGUAUUCCAUGUACACUAGGUUAACAUUUAGAAGCAUAAAAAAAAGGCAUUACAAUGUAAUCCUACAAUGCAACAUGCAAGAGAUGAGAUUAUGCUAUUCUAAGACAUAGAAAAAAGCUCGGUUGCUUCGGGAUGACACCUCCCUUCUUUUCUCAUUGUAGAGGUUCUAGAAACGCUCUUCGGCGAACUUUACGAUGAAGUCUUGGCUUCCUUGGUCCAAAACGACGCUCAAUCGGCCUUAUUUUGCCGAUAGCUUUUCUCCCGCUCGACGAAUCGAAAUUCCGACUUCGCCCCCGCGUUUCGACACCUAGCAAUUAGGUUUACAAGGCAUCAAAUGAGAUCAAUCUCAUACUUUACCAAAAACCCCAUUUUGGGUGCCCUAGGGUUCCAUCUUGCUAUUUGCACCAUGAACCCUAGCCUCUAGCUCUAAUCCACUAUCAAUGGUGUUAGAGGUCCAUUUUACCUCAUUUCAAAAGUUCAAAACCCAAAAACCCUAGAUUCUAUAUGUUAGGGUUCAAGAGCUUACCUCUAGGUUAGCUCCAAGGGAAGAGGAGAGGGAGGUGGAGAUGUCCAAAGCCUUUCCCUUUGAUCUCCUUCUUCUUCUUCUCCUUUCCUUCCUUCUUCUUCUUCCUCUUUUCUUCUUCUUCCUCUCCUUUGUUCUUUCUUUUCUAGAGAGAGAGAGGGAGCAAGAGAGGGAGGAGAGAGAAAUGAGAGGCUGAGGGAGAGAGAGGGCCCAUAUGCUUCUCUAAUGUAACAAAAUCCAAUUUAACCCCUCUACUUUUCAUCCUGUACACAGCCCUCACUGGGCAGUUUUCGCCCAGAGGGACCGGUCUCCCCGACCUGGGAUUGGUCCCCGAGAGCCUCCCCAAAUAUCACGCGUUCGGGAACCGAUCUCUCCCCGAGAGACCAGUCCUCGGGAGACCGGUUCCCACCUGAGAGACCGGUUCCCGAGAGCUGGAUUUUCAGGACUUAGCCAUUUUUUGGCUUUUCUCGCUGGUGCCACGUUCGGGGACCGGUUCUCUCAACUUGGGACCAGUUGCAUCAGGGAUCCCCAGCAACCACCAGCCUCGGGGACCGGUCUCUCCCUGCCAGGGACCGGUCCCCGAGAGCAGAAUCUGCCCAGUGCAGAUUUUCGCAUCAUUGCUCUCGUGGACUCAAUUCCAAUGCACUUUUUGUGUUUUGUACAACUUUAGCUUUUCCGAAGGAUACUCACUCGACAAGUAGUCGAUCCUAGACAAAGUACAACUCUCGGAUUUCGAGAAUUCACUUUCUUACAGGCUGAUUGCCGCAACUAAGCUACGAGGGACCGGUCUCUCCCUCCCAGGGAUCGGUCCCCGAGAGCUAAACUUUUGGGAUAAAACCAAAAAUCUCGGAAAGCGAGCCGUGGGUCGGAACACUGUCAACGACCCUCCCAAAAACGUGGAAAGGCUCAGAACCAAAAUCAAACACUCGAACCUCGCAAUUUGCAAAGGUCCAGUGUGUUACAGUGUACCGGUACACUUUAGCAGUUUCCGAACUGUUGGAACUGCAGGGGUGUUUUUGCAUUGUGGCCUAUCUAUAUAUAACCCCACGCCCCUUUGACCUCCCCCUGAGCUUGGAACAGCAAGAGAGAAGGUAAGGGGACCCUCCACUUCAUUCAUUCCAUCUUCUUUUGAUUUAUUGGGAUUUUUGAAGAUUAAACUCUUCUUUUUGCUUUCUUCUCUUUCUUGGUGCCAUUUCUACCAUUGGAGAAGCCUUGGCUUGGUGUUUGGAACUUGUGGGAGGGAUUGUACUCAACCCUAGAGGACUCUAGGCUUGGUUUGAAGCUUCUAAGAGGUUGGUAGCAUGUUUUUUUCCUCUAAAUUCUAGUUUUAAUACUUUAAACUAGGUGAAACCCUAGAUUUGAGUUUAGAGUUAGAAUUGAGGAUUUUUGAGUUGAGGCUUUUUGAUCUUAAUUGAUUGACGUAGAACCUUCCUUUAGGUUAGUUUUGAAGGAUUGUUGCUCUCUUUGGGAGAUCAAGAGGCAUUUUCACCAUUGUCGGCGAGUUUUUGCCCUUAUGCUUCUGUUGUUUAAUGUUCGAACCUAGGAUUGUUCGUAACAUUCGUGUAUCAUUCCUUUUGUUACCUUUAGGGUACUAGGAGAGUGGUAGGCACCUUCGUUGAAGCAAACGAAGGGUUUCGUGAAAUCACGGUGGGUUUGGCUUCAUUGGAAUAGGAGGAAACUCCUCCUAAGUGGUUAAAUGUUUUCGUUUCAUCGCAUCGCAUGCAUAUCCAUACUAGAUAGAAUUUAUGUGAAUUUUAGAAUGCUUGAAAUACAUAUGUUAUGUAUUAUAAAAAUUCAUCUCUCUAUAGUAGAGCCUUAUGUGGAUUAAUAAUGCAUGUGAGUAGCAUUCUUCUUGGGCAUUGGAAACAUGUCUCGUUUGACGAAAAUGACUCUAAUUAUAUAUUCUUGAAUACUAAACUCAUGCUUGGACUUGGUGAACAAAAGUGCCAUAAAGGGGCACCGACUUAGUAAACUGUGAAACUGCAACAUAGAGACAUAGUGAUAGGCCAUUGUGACAUCUACUAUAUUCCAUGUUUUAGACAUGAUGACAUAGUGAUAGGCCAUUGAGACAUAUGUUAUAUUCCAUAUUUUUGACAUGAGGACUUGAAACUGGAGAUAGACUUAUAUGCUUACUUGCCUUUGUGCUCAUUCGCACAUGCUUGUGAGGGUCUCUCCCUACAAACCGGCACUCCGAAGAUAGCCAUCGCGAUACAUACUCGGGUGCGUGAUUCGGCGCAGAAGUAGAUUGCCGUGGGCAAGGCUCAUUCCUAGAGUGUGGGGAUGUUGACUACCACGGGGCCAUUAAGCACGGUACAGGCCAGACAGCCUACAGGUGGGUCUUUAGGCCAGACUGCCUUCGGGCGAGUCUUACAGGAUUGGAACUAUAUAAAGUUGAUAUGCCAAGUGGACUUGAACUAGAAUAGUAAACAAUGACAUCUUACUAUUUCUGUUGUGGACAUUAUGUUGGUUGCAUACUCAUGCUUAUUCCUGUUAGCAUAGCUUUCUUACUUGUGCAAAUCAUGCUAAGUAGAGACUUCAUGUUAUAGCAAGCAUUCAUGUUUAUUUACUUGCGGUUCAUUUCGGUUAUUACUCGAUUCUACUUACUUGCUUAGUUUUGAGCCCAGUGGCGCUUUUUACUGAAGUAAGUAAUUGCCCACUAGGAACUAUUAUUUAAUAGUUCUCACGCCCUCUGUUGAUGUCUUUUUCAAAGCCUUCAGCACCGGCGGAGGUACGGGAUCGCGGCAAGGGAGUCGCAUAGCUAGUUAGUGCGGAGCUUGCUUUUGCUCCUAGGUGGUCUACUCUCUUUUUGUGUUCUUGGUGAGAGAGAGUUUUGUUACCAUGUAUAGAGACCACCAUUGUACCACUUAUAGCUCUCGUAUUCGGAUUUUUGUUGUUCUACUUUAUGGUUUAGUUUAGUGGAUUUUAGCUUUUGUUGUACUCUCCUGUUGUAGAAUCUAGUAGUACUUUGCUCUGAUAUCGCUAGAUCUCUUUGUAUUAUUAUUUUAUUUAUUGCUUUAUUGUAGAUGCCUAUAUGUUUUAGACAUAUGGCGGGUCUGGACACGUGCCGGGCGCACUUCCGCUGGGCCCCGGGGCGUGACAGAUUAAUUUGGUAUCAGAGCCUAGGGUUGAGUCUUAGUGGACCUAGCAGACCUUAGGCCGGUUGGACUAUAGGAAAUAGGUUCAUGAGAGACGAGGUCUAUUUGACUCGUAAGUGAAAGUAUUUUGAUUAGGUAUCCUUGAUAACUCUAGAAAGUGAAGUUAAAUCGAAGUGUAUAGCUCCUAACUUCGCGGAGGGUUACGUUGGUGGCCAACAACGUAACCUCGGGAGUUAGUAGUGAAGAGCACUUCCUUACUUUCGCAUGAUUUGGGUAUUAUCUACUUGAGCGUGGAUUCGAUAGCGUGAGUUUAACUAACUUGCGCUUUUAUGAUGUUCUAGUGCGAUGCCAAUCACUCGCUCUCAAUCUGCCAGAGCAGAUAAUGCGGCACAUUUGGAGGAGGUCGAGACCUCCGCUACCUCCGGAUCCGGCGAGGUCCGUGAGUUGAGGGGCCAGCUUGCGGCCCUCACUGACAUGGUAGCACAGCAGACGGAGGCAGCGCGUCGACAGAAGGCGCGGAUGAAGCAUCUGGAGGACCUCCUACUGCAGCAGGCGAAGGCUCGGGAGGCUCUGGUUCCUACACCACCUGCACCUGUGAAGGUGAUUGCACCGAGGGGGUCGUCCCCCGUCCUCGACACAUCGCGGACGACACUUGCGGUAGCGCCACGGGAGAAGGUGAUUGCAGCACCACCAACUCAGGUUCCUUUAGCGAGGGCGGCUUUCCCCGUGACAACUGUUGGAGAGGAGCGAGACCGACUGAUGGAGCGCCUCAACGAGUUCAGGAGGUGCAGUCCCCUAAUCUUCGAUGGAGAGAAGGUCGACCACUGGAUCGUGGAAAAGUGGUUGAUGCAUAUAGAGAAGCAAUUCCGCGACAUCUUUGUGGAGGAGAGGGAUCGAGUGUGGCUCGCCACUCAUCACUUGGACGGCGAGGCCUAUCGCUGGUGGUUGGAUAUUUAGGAAAAUCCCAGCACGAAUUUGGCGGUUAUUUCUUGGAAGAAGUUCAAGGAGCUUCUAUUGGCGCACUACUUCCCUGAUAGCGUCAAGAGGAAGAUGGAGCAGGAUCUGGGCAACUUGCGCCAGGGAGACCGAACAGUGGCCGAGUAUGAGAGGGAGUUUUCUCGGCUUCUUCACUGCGUGCCUUUCGUCGUGCGGGACGACGAGGACAAGACCCGCAUCUUCGAGCGAGGAUUGCGACUGUCUAUCUUUCGGUUCGUGCAAUCCUCUAACCUCCGAACUUACCUGAAGGUGGUGAACCGCGCGCUCAUUAUAGAGAGCAGCGCGGCGGAUUUGCAGGAGCGGCGAGAAGGCAUGGACAAGGGUAAGGGCAAAAGGCCCGUGGCGGAGGGUGCGUGUCAGACGCACUUUAGGAGGCCGCUGAAGCACCCUAGGAGCCAGUAGCGUGGGCGCGGCUCAGCAGCGCAGCGAGGAGGUACCGAUCAUCGCCGGCCUCCGUGUGUGAUCAGUGGUGGUCCCCACUUUCCACCGCAGUGUCCACAGCGGGCAGGCAGGUGCUUCCAGUGUUGCCAGGAGGGCCACAUCCGGACCGAGUGCCCGAGGGGUUCGUCACCGGCACCGUCGACUGCAUCGGCACCGGCUCUACCAGCCGCCAGCCAGGGGACUCCAUCGGCACAGUACCAGCCUGGACAGUCACCCAUCCAACGUCAGGGCGAGGGAUCUCGACAGGCCCCGAGUGGGCAUUUGUAUGCCGCUCAGACCGUGAAGACGGCCGCAGCCGAGGAUGUGAUUGCAGGUAUCAUUUUACUUGAUGGCAUUAGAAUUCGUGCAUUGUUUGAUACCGGUGUAUCACAUUCAUUCAUAGAUCGGUUAUUUGCCGAGUUGCAUGGCAUCCCUUCGGUUUCUUUGUUGUAUCCGGGACAGGUUGUAGUACCCGACCACACUCUGGAUAUUCGAGAGUUUUGCCCUAGUUGCCCUGUUCGAGUAAGAGAUUGAAUUAUGCCCGUGGAUCUGCUAGCUUUGCGCAAGCUGGGGGAGUUUGAUGUGGUCUUGGGUAUGGAUUGGUUAACUAAGUUUUAUGCCACGAUCGAUUGCAAGAAUCGCAUGGUUACUUUUAGAGAACUGGGGCAGACUGAGGUUGUGUUUAAAGGAUGCCGGAGUUCGCUGUUUGGGAUGACGAUCAGCUCGUCUCGAGCUAGGCAACUGAUCAGGAGAGGCUGCAUAGCCUAUUUGGCUAGUGUUGUUGUGAGGGGCGAUUAUGACACCCCUCGGAUUGAGGAUACCUCGGUGGUGCGGGAGUUUCAGGACGUGUUUCCAGCUGAGCUACCAGGUAUGCCCCCUGAUAGGGAGAUUGAGUUUGUGGUGGAUCUCAUCCUUGGGACUACUCCAAUCUCAAAGGCACCCUAUAGGAUGGCACCGGCAGAACUGAAGGAGUUGAGGGCACAGCUGCAGGAUUUGUUGGACAAGGACUUCAUUCGAUCAAGCGUCUCGCCUUAGGGAGCGCCAGUUUUAUUCGUCAAGAAGAAGGAUGGAUCGCUGCGUCUAUGCGUGGAUUACCGUGAACUUAAUAAAGUCACGAUCAAGAAUAAGCAUCCGUUGCCGAGGAUCAAUGACUUAUUUGAUCAGCUUCAAGGAUCGAGUGUGUAUUCCAAGAUCGACUUGCAGUCGGGAUACCACCAGUUAAAGAUCAAACCCGAGGAUGUAUCGAAGACGGCUUUUAGAACACGGUAUGGACAUUAUGAGUUCACCGUUAUGCCGUACGGGCUUACUAAUGCCUCGGCAGCUUUUAUGGAUUUAAUGAACCGUAUUUUUAAGCCUUACCUAGACAGGUUUGUCGCGGUGUUCAUCGACGACAUUUUGGUUUAUUCCCGAAGUGAUGCAGAUCACGAGGAACAUGAGGAUUGUACUUCAAGUACUUCGGGAAAAGGAGCUUUAUGCGAAGUUAAAAAAGUGUGAAUUUUGGCUUCGAGAAGUGGCAUUCCUUGGGCAUCUGAUUUCGCGAUCAGGUAUAGCUGUGGAUCCUAGAAAGAUUGAGGCUAUCAAGGAUUGGCCGAGACCGACGAGCGUCACAGAGAUACAGAGCUUUCUUGGAUUGGCCGGUUAUUACCGAAGAUUUAUCGAGGGGUUUGCUAAGUUAAAGGCUCACGCAUAAAGACAUCAAGUUCAUUUGGAACGAUGCGUGUGAAAGGAGCUUCCAAGAGUUGAAGCAAAGAUUGACGACUGCCCCGAUCCUAACCCUGCCGGUUGCUGGAGUAGGGUAUGUGGUUUAUAGUGAUGCUUCAUUUAAUGGAUUGGGUUGCGUUUUGAUGCAGGAUGGCAAGGUGAUCGUGUAUGCUUCUCGCCAAUUGAAGGAAUAUGAAAGGAACUAUCCUACAGAUGAUCUAGAGUUGGCGGCCGUAGUCUUUGCAUUGAAGUUAUGACGCCACUAUCUUUAUGGCGAACGGUGUGAAGUAUACACGGAUCACAAGAGCUUGAAAUAUCUAUUCACUCAGAAGGAGCUGAACUUGAGGCAGCGCAGAUGGUUGGAGCUGCUCAAGAAUUAUGAUCUGACUAUUCUUUACCACCCGGGCAAGGCUAACGUGGUGGCGGAUGCGCUAAGUAGGAAAUCGACGAAAAACUUAGUCUUGCAUAUUGUUACUCAACCGUAAGUGAUCGAGCAGAUGAAACGGUUGGAGUUGGAAGUGGUGACACCUGAUACACCCUUACGGUUGAUGACCUUGGUAGUGCAACCUACACUGUUGGAUAGAAUUAAAGAAAGGCAAGUUUCCGAUGUGGAAUUGCAAAAGAUUAGAGACAAAAUGUAGUUGCACCGGCGAUUUCCUUGUGGAUGACCAAGGAUUGAUGCGUUUUCGUGGACAGUUAUGUGUACCGGCGGAUUCGGGACUUAAAGAAGAUAUUAUUCAAGAAGCACACCGACCACCCUAUACUAUACAUCCGGGAGGCACCAAGAUGUACAAGGACUUAAAGUUGCACUAUUGGUGGCCCGGGAUGAAAAAGGACAUUGGUGAGUUUGUUGCUAGAUGUUUAACUUGCCAACAAGUAAAGGCUGAGCACCGAUUACCCGCGGGAAAACUUCAGAGUUUGCAGAUCCCCAUGUGGAAGUGGGAGAAGAUCACUAUGGAUUUCGUGAUGGGAUUGUCUCGCUCUCACGCCUGGCAUGAUGCCAUUUGGGUGAUCGUGGAUAGGUUGACGAAGUCGGCGCACUUCAUACCUAUACAUACUACCUGGACUGGAGAGAAGCUCGCACAAGUGUACCUGGAUGAGAUUGUGUGACUUCACAGAGUGCCUACCUCGAUUGUAUCUGACCGAGACACCCGAUUUGUGUCUCACUUUUGGAAGAGUCUGCAGGACGCCUUAGGCACUCGAUUGGAUUUCAGCACUACUUUCCACCCUCAGAGUGAUGGGCAGUCGGAGCGCACUAUUCAGACUUUAGAGGAUGUGCUCCGAGCAUGUGUGAUAGACUUCCAGGAAGGAUGGUCAUAGCAUCUACCGAUGGCAGAGUUUGCUUAUAACAACAGUUAUCAAGCAAGCAUCAAGAUUGCGCCCUUCGAAGCACUUUAUGGACGGAAGUGCAGAUCGCCACUUCAUUGGAGUGAAGUUGGUGAGAGAUUGGCUUUAGGCCCUGAUGUGCUCCAGGAAGCUGAGAACAAGGUUCGUAUUGCUCGGGAGCCACUUUUGACGGCACAGAGUAGACAGAGGAGCUACGCCGAUCGACGGCGACGAGACUUGGAGUUCCAAGUUGGAGAUCAUAUUUUCUUGAAGGUCUCGCCGACCAGAGGGAUCCGGAGAUUCGGGAUUCGGGGAAAGUUGAGCUCCCGAUUUGUUGGACUGUAUGAGGUUUUGGAGUGGGUGGGCCCGGUAGCGUAUCGACUUGCUCUACCACCGAACCUAUCAAGCGUACACAACGUCUUUCAUGUAUUGGUCCUUCGGAAGUAUAUUGUCACGCCCCGGGACCGGCAGAGGCCCUCCCGGUAGCAUGCCCAGACCCACUAUAUGUCAACACAUAUAAGGCGUCUAAACAACAGCGGAAAAGUAAAGCCAAAGAUAAUCUACAUCUAGAGAUAUUAGAGCACAGAUUGAUCUAUCAUCUAUAACAAGGUAAAAGAAAAAUACUAUAACAAUAAAAGUGAAGCAUAUAGUUAUACAAUAACUAUCCAAAAUGGUACACAAAAGGGUGGUCUCUAGUACACUAGUACAGCUCUCAACCUCUCCAAAAUAAAAACAUCGAGAGGUAGACUACCUAUCAACUCGUCUCUCGCUGAAGAGCUAGCUCAAAGCAACGCCCUUUCCGCAGUCCCUAGCCUCUCCCGGCGUGGAAGGCUCUGAAAGAAAGCAUAAAACAGAGGGCGUGAGAACUAUAAAUUAUAGUUCCCAGUGGGUAAUUACUGACCUCAGCUCAAUACACCACUAGGCCCCAAAGAAAGGGUAAGUCAAAAAGAGAGCAAUAAUAAUGAAUAAUUUGCAUUUAAGAAAGCAUAAUUAAAAUGCUAUGAUACUACAUUGUGUCAAUUAAGAUGCACCUUUAUUUCAUAAUGAACAAGUAUGUCCCUACAUGACCACAAGUAACAAUCAUGAUUUGUUUUAUGAAAUUAUGAAAAUCAUGCUCAACUAGGGUAAACAAUGUUUACAUGAAUGCAAUAAGCAAUAUCUCCUAGCAUACUACAUGUAUGUAAGUAUAUUCAAGUGUCCAAAACUAUACUAGAAGUAAGUCCAAGUAAUCCAACUACUACUCUCUAUCUAGUAGUGAUUAUAACACACUCAACACCGUGUCGAUUUCUAUUUCCAAUUAAGGACCUACCCAAGGUAGUCUAGCAUGUGCCGCCUAAGUGCCUGUGGUAGCCCUACAUUCCUGCUCUUGGAAUGUGUCUGUCCCACUCGACCCCGUAGGCUUCUUAAUACCGCACGAGCGAACAUAGGUCGCAUAGGCUAACUCCGGAGUGCCGGCUUGUAGGGAGCGACCCUCACAAGCAUAUGCGAAUGAGCACAAAUGGAAAGCAAGCGUAAUCAAAGGCUCAAGUAUCCAACCCUCAUGUCUCGAACAUGGCAAUAGCUACUAGUAACCCAACGGUCUAGCUCUAUGUCACAAUAUGAUAACCCAACACCCACUGGCUUAGUGCCUCUUAUGACACUUAAGCAUCACAACUAAUCAAGCCCAAAUCACGUUCUAUGUUCCCAUUUAAGACAUUAAUACUAAUGUUCACUAUAGCCCGGGCCCAAUGCCUCUUAUGACAUUGGCCCAAUUUCUCAAAUAGUCUAAGUCCCAAGCCUCUCUAGGCUUCCAAAGUCUCUAAUGUCACAAUUGGACAUGAAGGUUAAAUGCAUAAAGUAAUGUUCAUUUUCAUAUUAGGAAUCAUGGUUCCAAGUCUCAACUAGAAUGCUAUAUCUCACAUGCAUGCACUCUACCACAUAGAGGUUCAAAAAUUUACUACACAUUACAUAGGCAUGUUAAGCAUUCUAAAAUUCAUAAUAAAUAUAUCUAAUAUGAUUAUGCAUGCUUUAUCAUUUAACGAUACUCAAAUCAUCACAAAUGAGAUUUUCUCAUUAUGUGGCUAGGUCAAACCCACCAAACCGUCGCGUAGUCCCUCGUUUCGCCGAACAGAGUUGUCCACGAGUCUCAAAAUAUCCUAAAAGUAAUGAGCGAAGAGAUACACGGGCAUUACGAUCAUCUAUAAGCUCAAACACUAACAAUCAUAAGAAAUGGGCAAAAACUCACCUAAGGAGUAGAAAAUCUCUCCCAAGCUCCAAAAAAGAGCUAAAUCCCUUCCAAUCCAACCCAAAGGAUGGUUCUAAUCCAAUCAAUUUAGCUCAAAAGGCUCUAGAUUCAAAAAGCCCAAAACAAAUCCUAAGUUCCGAAUCUAGGGUUUCAUCUCAAAACCAUCAAUAAAAUUCCAAUCUAGAAGGAGAGAACAAGUAGAUUACCUCUUAGAAGCUUCAAUCCAAGCUCCAAACUCUCUAAGUGCCAAGAUCUUCCCUCAACCAUGCACCAAAACCAAGCUCCAAUCUUCAUCAAUGGUGGAAAAGGCUCCAAAAGGCAAAAAGAAGAAUUAAGGGAAAACUUCGAAAACCCCCCUUGUGGUUUCAAUUUUUUUCACUUUAGUACCCUGUGGUUUAAAAUGUAUCAAGUUAGUACCUUGUGGUUUCUCACUUUAUCACUUUAGUACCCUGUGGUUUAAAGUGUGUCAAGUUAGUACCCUGUGGUUUUGCAUUUUAUCACUUUAGUACCCUGUGGUUUUGAUUUUGUAUCAAAUUAGUACCCUAUGGUUUUUUAAACUAUAGGGUACUAAAGUGAUAAAGUGUGAAACCACAGGGUACUAAAGUGAUAAAGUGCAAAACCACAGGGUACUAACUUGAUACACUUUAAACCACAGGGUACUAAAGUGAUAAAGUGAGAAACCACAGGGUACUAAUUUAAUACAUUUUAAACCACAGGGUACUAAAGUGAUAAAGUGAGAAACCACUGGGUACUAACUUGAUACACUUUAAACCACAGGGUACUAAAAUAAAAAAGUGUGAAACCACAGAGGGGGUUUUUGAAGUUUUCCCAAGAAUUAAUCCACCAAAAUCCAUCCAAAAUAGAGAUCAAAUCAAAGGAGGGGGAGAGAGGGCCUCACUCACCUUGUUCUCCACCCUUCUCAGCUCACGGGAGAGCCCUAGGGGCGUGGGGAUACAUAUAGAAGGCCACAAUUGUGAAAAACCCCCUGCAUUCAAACUGCUCAAAAACUGCCACUGCGUACCGGUACACGGGCCCACGUACCGAUAUACAUCCCACGAAAAUGCCAAACCCGAGCCUCGGAUUUGCCUCAAAACUGCCUGUGUACCGGUACACAAUCCCGUACCGGUACAACCAUCAACCCUAUACCGGUACAACCAUCAACCCUGUACCGGUACACAGCCCAAUAAGGGCUACCCGAGAGCUAACCAAAAAUUCGAUUUUUUCGGGUUUUGGUGCUAGGCUUCAGACCUCAAUCCUCGGGGUUCGAACCAUAGGUCGGAACACUGUCUACGACCCACCAGAAAGUCUAGAGAAACUCAGAACACAUCAAAUCACUCGAACCUCGCAAUUUGCAAAGGUCCAGUGUGUUACAUUCACCCCUACUUAAAAGGAGUUUCGUCCGCGAAACUCAAAAGUAAAGUACCUCAAGCCUCCAUCUGAAAAAGAUGGGAAUAGCGCUUCCGCAGUGCGCUCUCCAACUCCCAAGUGGCCUCACGCUCGUCGUGGUUGCUCCAAAGCACCUUCACGUAGGAAAUCUCAUGGUUCCGCAGCCUCUUUACCUCGCGAGCCAAAAUUCUUAAAGGUUGCUCUUCAAAGCUCAGAUCAUCCCUCAGCUCCACUGGUGUAGCGUCCAACACAUGAGUCGGAUCAUGGAUGUACCUCCGAAGGACCGAUACAUGAAACACAUUGUGCACACCCGAUAGGUUUGGCGGUAGAGCAAGUCGAUACGCUACCGGGCCUACACGCUCCAAAACCUCAUACGGUCCAAUGAAUCGGGGACUCAACUUACCCCGAAUUCUAAAUCUCCUAACCCCUCUGGUCGGCGAGACUUUCAAGAAGACAUGAUCUCCAAUCUGAAACUCCAAGUCUCGUCGACGCUUAUCAGCAUAACUCUUUUGCCUACUCUGGGCUGUCAACAGUUGCUCUCUAGUAAUGCGAACCUUGUCCUCUGCUUCCUGGAGCACAUCGGGGCCUAAAGCCAAUCUCCCGCCAACUUCACUCCAAUGAAGCGGCGAUCUACACUUCCGUCCAUAAAGUGCCUCGAAUGGUGCCAUCUUGAUGCUUGCUUAAUAACUGUUGUUAUAAGCAAACUCUGCCAUAGGUAGAUGCUGCGACCAUCCUCCCUGGAAGUCGAUCACACAGGCUCGAAGCAUGUCCUCCAGUGUCUGUAUAGUGCGCUCUGACUGCCCAUCACUCUGAGGGUGGAAAGCCGUACUGAAGUCCAAGCGCGUGCCCAAGGCAUCCUGUAAACUCCUCCAAAAGUGAGAUACAAAACGGGGGUCUCGAUCUGAUACUAUAGAAGUAGGUACCCCGUGUANNNNNNNNNNNNNNNNNNNNNNNNNNNNNNNNNNNNNNNNNNNNNNNNNNNNNNNNNNNNNNNNNNNNNNNNNNNNNNNNNNNNNNNNNNNNNNNNNNNNNNNNNNNNNNNNNNNNNNNNNNNNNNNNNNNNNNNNNNNNNNNNNNNNNNNNNNNNNNNNNNNNNNNNNNNNNNNNNNNNNNNNNNNNNNNNNNNNNNNNNNNNNNNNNNNNNNNNNNNNNNNNNNNNNNNNNNNNNNNNNNNNNNNNNNNNNNNNNNNNNNNNNNNNNNNNNNNNNNNNNNNNNNNNNNNNNNNNNNNNNNNNNNNNNNNNNNNNNNNNNNNNNNNNNNNNNNNNNNNNNNNNNNNNNNNNNNNNNNNNNNNNNNNNNNNNNNNNNNNNNNNNNNNNNNNNNNNNNNNNNNNNNNNNNNNNNNNNNNNNNNNNNNNNNNNNNNNNNNNNNNNNNNNNNNNNNNNNNNNNNNNNNNNNNNNNNNNNNNNNNNNNNNNNNNNNNNNNNNNNNNNNNNNNNNNNNNNNNNNNNNNNNNNNNNNNNNNNNNNNNNNNNNNNNNNNNNNNNNNNNNNNNNNNNNNNNNNNNNNNNNNNNNNNNNNNNNNNNNNNNNNNNNNNNNNNNNNNNNNNNNNNUGGAUAGGUAUGAAAUGUGCCGAUUUCGUCAAUCUAUCCACGAUCACCCAUAUAGCAUCAUGCCCGGCCUGCGAGCGAGGCAAUCCCAUCACAAAGUCCAUGGUGAUCUUAUCCCAUUUCCACACCGGAAUCGGUAAGCUCUGCAAUUUUCCUGCGGGGACUCGGUGCUCAGCUUUAACCUGUUGGCAAGUUAGACAUCUAGCAACAAACUCACCAACGUCUUUCUUCAUCCCGGGCCACCAAUAAAGCAACUUUAAGUCCUUGCACAUCUUGGUGCCUCCCGGAUGUAUAGCAUACGGUGCUCGAUGUGCCUCUUGAAAAAUUUCUUCUUUAAUGUCCAAAUCCGCCGGUACACAGAUCCGUCCGUGGAAACGCAUCAAUCCCACACCGUCCACAGAAAAGUCACUGGUGCAACCAUCAAUCAUCUUAGCUCGAAUCCUUUGCAACUCCACAUCGGGGACUUGCUUUUCUUUAAUCCUUUCCACAAGUGUAGGUUGCACCACCAAAGUCAUCAGUCUCAAAGGUGUAUCAGGAGCCACCACCUCCAACUCCAACCGCUUCAUCUGCUCGAUCAACGGUGAUUGAGUGACCACAAGCAUCGCUAAGUUAUCCGUCAAUUUUCUACUUAGUGCAUCCGCCACCACGUUAGCCUUGCAUGGGUGGUAAAGAAUAGUCAAGUCAUAAUCCUUGAGUAGCUCCAACCAUCUGCGCUGCCUCAAGUUCAACUCCUUCUGAGUGAAUAAAUACUUUAAGCUUUUGUGAUCCGUAUACACUUCACAACGCUCGCCAAACAAGUAGUGGCGCCAUAGCUUCAAUGCAAAGACUACGGCCGCCAAUUCCAAGUCGUGAGUAGGAUAGUUCCUCUCAUAAUCCUUUAGUUGGCGAGAAGCAUACGCAAUCACCUUCCCGUCCUGCAUCAAAACACAUCCCAAUCCAUUAAAGGAAGCAUCACUAUAAAUCACAUACCCUGCUCCAGUAACUGGCAAGGUUAGGAUCCGGGCGGUAGUUAGUCUCUGCUUCAACUCUUGGAAGCUCCUUUCACACGCAUCAUUCCAAAUGAACUUGGUGCCCUUAUGCGUGAGCCUCGUGAGGGAAGCAGAUAAUCUUACAAAUCCUUCAACAAAUCGUCGGUAGUAGCCGGCCAAACCAAGAAAGCUCCGAAUCUCCGUGACGCUCGUCGGCCUCGGCCAAUCCUUAAUAGCUUCAAUUUUUCUCGGGUCCACGGCUAUGCCUGAUCCUGAAAUCAAAUGGCCCAAAAAUGCCACCUCUCUAAGCCAAAAUUCACACUUUUUCAGCUUGGCAUAGAGCUUCCUUUCCCGAAGUACUUGAAGUACAAGUCUCAAGUGUUCCUCGUGAUCCGCAUCACUUCGGGAAUAAACUAAGAUGUCGCCGAUGAAUACCACGACGAACCUGUCUAGAUUAGGCUUGAAAACACGGUUCAUUAGAUCCAUAAAAGCUGUCGGGGCAUUAGUAAGCCCGAAUGGCAUCACAGUAAACUCAUAGUGUAUAUACCGUGUUCUAAAAGCCGUCUUUGACACAUCCUCAGGCUUGAUCUUCAAUUGGUGGUAUCCCGACUGUAAGUCGAUCUUGCAAUACACACUAGAUUCCUGUAGCUGAUUAAAUAGAUCGUAUAUCCUCGGCAAUGGAUACUUAUUCUUAAUCGUGACUUUGUUAAGUUCGCGAUAGUCCACGCAAAAGCGAAGUGAUCAAUCCUUCUUCUUGACAAAUAGGACCGGUGCUCCCCAAGGUGACACACUCGGUCGCACAAAACCCUUAUCCAAAAGAUCCUGCAACUGUGCCUUCAGCUCCUUCAAUUCUGCUGGUGCCAUCCUAUAGGGCGCCUUUAAGAUUGGAGUAGUCCCGGGAACGAGAUCUACCACAAACUCAAUCUCCCUAUCAGGUGGCAUGCCUGGAAGCUCUGCUGGAAACACAUCCCCAAACUCCCACACUACGGGGAUAUCCUCAAUCCUGGGGGCAUCAUCAUCACCCCUCAACACAACAGUAGCCAAAUAGGCCACGCAGCCUCUACUAAUCAACUGCCUAACUCAAGAGGAGCUAAUCGUCAUCGCAAAUAGCGAACUCUGGCAUCCACGGUACACAACCUCCACCUGCCUCGGCUCUCUAAAUGUCACAGUUCGAUCUUUGCAAUCGAUAGUGGCGUAGUACUUAGUCAACCAAUCCAUGCCCAAGACAACCUCAAACUCCCCGAGUUUAUGCAAAGCUAAAAGGUCUACGGGCAUAAUCGAAUCUCCAACCCGAACAGGGCAACUGGGGCAGAACUCCCGAAUAUCUAAGGAAUGAUCGGGUACAACAACUCGUCCAUGAUGCAACAAAGAUGUCAGUGGGAUUCCAUGCAACUCGGCAAACAACCGGUCUAUGAAUGAAUGCGAUGCACCGGUAUCAAACAAAGCUCUAGCUCGAAUACCAUAAAGUAAAAUGAUACCUGCGACCACAUUCUCGGCUGCUGGCGCCUCCUCAGUCUGGGCCGCGUACAUGCGCCCGCUCGGGGCCUGUCGUGACCCCUCCGUCUGUCGCUGGACAGGUGGCCGCCCGGCCUCGUAAGGUGCAGGAAGUGUCCCCUGGCUGGGACCCGGUGAAGCUGGUGCUGAUGCCGAUGAUGGUGCUGGUGCUGAACCCCUCGGGCAGUCCGACUGAAAGUGGCCCUCCUGGCCACACAGAAAGCACCUGCCCCGACUGCGCGUGCACUAUCGUGGGAAGUGUGGGCCACCACAGAUCACGCAGCGCGGGGCCUGGCGUCGAUCAGAUCCUUCUCGCUGGGUAGACUAGCCACAUCCUCAUGACUGGCUCCGACUCCUGGGAUGCCUCGGCGGCCUCCGUGAGUGCGUCUGACUCGCACUCUCAGCCGCUGUCCUCUUGCCCUUGCCCUUGUCUAGGGCCUCGCGUCGCUCCUGAAGGUCUGCCGCUCCAGCCUCCAUAAUGAAUGCACGGUCCACAACCUCCCGAUAGGUUUGGAGGUUAGAGGACUACACCAACUGGAAAAUCGAAGGCCGCAAUCCGUGCUAAAAAAUGCGGGCCUUAUCCUCGUCAUCCCGCACCACAAAUGGUACACAGUGGAGUAGCCGAGAAAACUCCCUCUCGUACUCGGCCACAGACCGCUCCUCCUGGCGCAAGCUGCGCAAGUCCUGCUCCAUCUUCCUCUUGGCGCUGGUAGGAAAGUAGUGCGCCAGAAGCAACUCCUUGAACCUCGCCCAAGAGAUCGCUGCCAAAUCCAUGUUGGGGUUGUCCAGGAUAUCCAACCACCAAUGGUAGGCCUCGCCAUCCAAGAAGUGUGUGGCGAGCUACAUUCUGUCCCUCUCUUCCACAAAGGUAUCUCGAAAUAGCUUCUCCAUAUGCAUAAGCCACUUCUCCACUAUCCAAUGGUCCACGUUCUCCCCGUCAAAGGUCCGUGGACUGCAUCGCCUGAACUCACUAAGGCACUCCAUGAGCCGAUCCCGCUCGGCUCCCUCAACCAUCGCGGGGAAAACCGCCCCCGCUACAGAUGCUCGCGCCGGUGGUGCCACGAACUCCUCUCCCCGAAGCGCAAUAUCCGGUGAUAUCCUCGGAGUACCGGGCCCUAGAGAUAGCGCCCUCGGUGUCGCAAUCACUGCCGGUGCUGGUGGGGGUGUGGACACCUGUGACUCCCUAGCAGCCGCCUGCUACCUAAGCAAAUCCUCCAGUCGCUCCAUCCGCGCCUCCUGCCGAAGCGCCGCGUCCGCCUGCUGCCGUGCUGCCGCCGCCUGCUGCGCGACUAAGUCAGUGAGGGCCGCCAGCUGGCUCCUCAACUCACGAACCUCACCGGAUCCGGAGGUAGCGGAGGUCUCCACCUCCUCAAAGUUCGCCGCAUUGUCCGCUCCGAUAGACUUAGAGCGAGUCGUCGGCAUUGUCACUACAACAUCAUAAAAGCGCAAGUUAGUAAAACCCACGCUAUCGCAACCCCGCUCAAAAAAAUAAAUACCCAAAUCAGGCGAAAGUAAGGAAGUGUCAUUCACUACUAACUCCCGAUGUUACGUUGUCUGCCGCCAACAUAACCCUCCGCGAAGUUAAAAGCCAUACACUCCGAUCGAACUCUAACUUUUUAGAGUUACCAUCAAACCCAAUCGAAAUACUUUCGCUAACAAUUAAAUUAGACCUCGUCUCUCACGAGCCUAUUUCCUAUAGUCCAACCGGCCUAAGGUUUGCUAGGUCCACUAAGACUCAACCCUAGGCUCUGAUACCAAACUAAUCUGUCACGCCCCGGGACCGGCAGAGGCCCUCCCGGUAGCGUGCCCAGACCCGUCAUAUGUCA